UUUUGUUCAACUGCGCUUGUGUUGAACUCAACCAACAGUGUUACAUAUAGGGUAGUCUACUUGCUUAGUUGAAGAUAGCAGUGGAAGAUGGUUUCUUUAUAAAAACAAGCAAAUGGUAAAUAGUAGCCAAUGGUCAGUACAAUCUAGUCAUCAAGUCAGCAUGAUGGAAUAAUGGAAUAGGCAAGAUGGAACAUCAAAACGUAUUGUUUUUAUUCACUGUCACAUACCACCUUAAAGUCAAAACUCAAAGACACUGUGCAACUAGCAUGGCAUUCAAAGCAUCCCCACCGCCAAAAUAAAUAAGAACAUCCAUAACUAUUUAUUAGACCUUCUGGUGCUGAAGAUGUAGACAAGGGCAAAACUCUUUAAUAUCCUCAGCCCCUUCCCUUCUUUUUCUGUGCACUUUUUAAAAAGCUUAGCUCAACUAACUCCAUCUGUCUCGCAGGAUUCUUGUACACGUUCUCCCACUUCCAAUUCUCAGAUCAUGUUGAAACUUUGCACAAUUAUUCAUUGUCGAUGACAACACAUGAAUCAAUAAAAAAAAUAAACAAUUA